rnacentral:lncRNA from 1 species
UCUACACAGAGAAACUGAAAUCUGGUUAGUCAAGAAGGAAAAAACAACCAAGUGCCUGGCAUUAAGAGGAUUUUUUUUUUAAGCUCAGCCUAUGGACAACAAAAGCAUGGACUGUAUUUCUCAGCAUCUUUUGCAGCUUAUUGUUGAAAGUCCAGUGAGCUACCUCAGGCUUUUCUCUGUGGAAUGACUGUUGCAGAGAACUGCACCUCAGAAGAAUGGAGUUUAAAACUGUGAUGACAUUCUACCUCAUUGAAGAAAUCCUCCAGUGCCAAGGGUGGAUCUCUAAAGAAGGAUUCAAUCCAGGAUCACAUCUUAUAUUUACAAUAACAUGCCUUUUUUCUCCUUCAGUCUGGAACCGUGUCUCAGUCUAUCUUUGUUCUUUAUGACAUUGACAUAUUUUAAAGAAUAAAAGCCAAUUCUUUUAUGCACCAUC